ACGAAUUGGAGCGAUUGGUUUUUUCUCAGGAGGUAGUCCUAUAAUAGAGGCACCCAACCAACCGGGCUGGACAAGAUUAAAAAAAAACAAAAAGAGAGAAGAGAAGAGCGGAGCAGAGAAGAGAAGAGUGGAUCAAGAAAAAAUGGGAUGGAGAUGGGUAGAAGCAGUAUUGCCAUUAGGAAUCAUAGCAGGAAUGCUUUGCAUAGCUGGUAACGUUCAGUAUGUCAUCCACACGAAAGCUCAUGGCCGUCCUAAGCACAUCGGCAACGAUAUGUGGGACGUCGCUAUGGAGAGAAGGGACAAAAACCUCCUCCUCUCCUCCUCCUCCUCCUCCUCCUCCUAGUCUGCUCAGCUGAGUGCAAGCUGAAUUGAUUUGGAAAAUUUGACAGCGAAAUACGAAAGGAAGCCUUUCCUACAGACUCCAGAAGAGAAAUAAAGUGCGCAUCUGACAUCCCAGUUAUCUAAGGAAGUCCUAUGGGCAGUAUCAGCUUGAUCUUCCUUUUGUUUUGCACAUGAAUUUCUGUCAAGCAGUUGAUCUCAUAAGACAAAUUUGCAGACUCCUUAUCCUCUGUUUUUAACUAUGGGAAUGAAAUUGGCUUUUUACA